rnacentral:rRNA from 1 species
CAACGCUGGCGGCGUGCCUAAUACAUGCAAGUCGAGCGGAAUGAUGAAGAAGCUUGCUUCUUCUGAUUUUAGCGGCGGACGGGUGAGUAACACGUGGGCAACCUACCUUGUAGAUUGGGAUAACUCCGGGAAACCGGGGCUAAUACCGAAUAAUCCAUUUUGCUUCAUGGCGAGAUGUUGAAAGACGGUUUCGGCUGUCACUACAAGAUGGGCCCGCGGCGCAUUAGCUAGUUGGUAGGGUAAUGGCCUACCGAGGCGACGAUGCGUAGCCGACCUGAGAGGGUGAUCGGCCACACUGGGACUGAGACACGGCCCAGACUCCUACGGGAGGCAGCAGUAGGGAAUCUUCCACAAUGGACGAAAGUCUGAUGGAGCAACGCCGCGUGAGUGAAGAAGGUUUUCGGAUCGUAAAACUCUGUUGUAAGGGAAGAACACGUACGAGAGUAACUGCUCGUACCUUGACGGUACCUUAUUAGAAAGCCACGGCUAACUACGUG